rnacentral:rRNA from 1 species
AAAACCGUUGGAAACGACGGCUAAUACCGGGAUGUGGCGCCUGGCGACAUCGCCGGAGCGCUAAAGGGGGCCGCAAGGCUCUCGCUCGUAGAGGGGCUCGCGCACCAUCAGCUUGUUGGCGGGGUAACGGCCCACCAAGGCCUACGGUUAGCUGGUCUGAGAGGAUGACCAGCCCCACUGGGACUGAGAUACUGCCCAGACUCCUACGGGAGGCUGCAGUCGAGGAUCAUUUGCAAUGGGCGAAAGCCUGACAAUGCGACGCUGACGUGGAGGAUGAAGGCCUUCGGGUUGUAAACUCCUGUCAUGGGGGAACAGGCGAGGGGACCCAAUACGUCCCUUAGUUGAGUGUACCCCAAGAGGAAGGGACGGCUAACUCUGUGCCAGCCGCUGC